rnacentral:misc_RNA from 1 species
AACGCACAUUGCGCCCUUUAGUAUUCUAGAGGGCAUGCCUAUUCGAGCGUCAUUAUCAACCCUCAAGCCCGGCUUGUUGUUGGAUGUGAUCUCUAGCGUCAUGCUGGGAUCCGUCUCAAAGAUAAUGGCGGUGUUAUGAAUAACCCCAGAUGCAGCGAGCUUUUGUUUUAGCAUACAUCGCGGUGGUGUUCAUAGCCUUGCUUUCACCCUUAUUUUUUUCAAAGGUUGACCUCGGAUCAGGUAGGAAUACCCGCUGAACUUAA